GGACCAGGCGAGGUGAUCGCUCUUUGGGCCUUAGCGUCCAAAGGGAGGAAAGUCCGAGCAUGCUCCCGCCCCUCGUCACAGAAAGGCGGGAAACAAGGUAGCGGGUAACUCCCGUCGUCCGUGAGGAUAGAGGUGCCUACAGAGACGUCAACGCCGAGAGGCCGCGAGUUCCCUUCGGGAACAGUUCUGUCGCGAGGCAGAAGUGCAACGAGCAAAUCCUUACCCGCAUGCAAGGCCGUGUCGUGUUCUGUUUUCUAAUAGAACACGAAGCGCCGCUCGAGCUUGAGAGUAAUCUCAAGCCCAGAUAAAUGAUCACCCAUUGCUACACGUAGCAAAGACAGAACUCGGCUUACGAGCCUGGUCUAGAA
rnacentral:RNase_P_RNA from 1 species